rnacentral:rRNA from 1 species
GGACGAACGCUGGCGGCGUGCCUAAUACAUGCAAGUCGAACGGCUUUUCUAUGGAAGCUUGCUUCCACUGAGAAGAUAGUGGCGAACGGGUGAGUAACACGUGGGUAACCUGCCCAUAAGAGGGGGAUAACAUCCGGAAACGGGUGCUAAUACCGCAUAGUUUUCUUGAUCGCAUGAUUGAGAAAGGAAAGACGGCCUUUGUGCUGUCGCUUAUGGAUGGACCCGCGGCGUAUUAGUUAGUUGGUGAGGUAACGGCUCACCAAGACGAUGAUACGUAGCCGACCUGAGAGGGUGAUCGGCCACAUUGGGACUGAGACACGGCCCAAACUCCUACGGGAGGCAGCAGUAGGGAAUCUUCCGCAAUGGACGAAAGUCUGACGGAGCAACGCCGCGUGAGUGAAGAAAAGGUUUUCGGAUCGUAAAACUCUGUUGUCAGAGAAGAACAAGUUGGAGAGUAACUGCUCCAGCCUUGACGGUAUCUGACCAGAAAGCCACGGCUAACUACGUGCCAGCAGCCGC